rnacentral:ncRNA from 1 species
AAUCAUGACGGGUGAAACGGGAAGCCGGUGCGAUCUGAGCCAAUUCAGCAUCAAUCCCGGCACUGCCCCCGCAACGGUAAACGAGUCAAGACAGAACCACUGCCACUGUGCAUGCAUGGGAAGGCGCCUGUCGGGAUACCCCCCGCUCGUGAGUCCGGAGACCGGCCUGAAGCAAUAG